rnacentral:rRNA from 1 species
GACGAACGCUGGCGGCGUGCUUAACACAUGCAAGUCGAGCGAUGAAGUUCCUUCGGGAAUGGAUUAGCGGCGGACGGGUGAGUAACACGUGGGUAACCUGCCUCAUAGAGGGGAAUAGCCUUCCGAAAGGAAGAUUAAUACCGCAUAAGAUUGUAGUAUCGCAUGAUAUAGCAAUUAAAGGAGCAAUCCGCUAUGAGAUGGACCCGCGUCGCAUUAGCUAGUUGGUGAGGUAACGGCUCACCAAGGCGACGAUGCGUAGCCGACCUGAGAGGGUGAUCGGCCACAUUGGGACUGAGACACGGCCCAGACUCCUACGGGAGGCAGCAGUGGGGAAUAUUGCACAAUGGGGGAAACCCUGAUGCGGCAACGCCGCGUGAGUGAUGACGGUCUUCGGAUUGUAAAACUCUGUCUUCAGGGACGAUAAUGACGGUACCUGAGGAGGAAGCCACGGCUAACUACGUGCCAGCCGCCGCAGUAA